AUUNUUCCGUNAUCCGGAUGCUUACGAGCAGAAAGUGAUUAAAUCACGUUAUCUAGAGGAAGGAGAAGUCGUAACAAGGUAACGGUAGGUGAACCUGCCGUUGGAUCAGUUCUAGUUUUAAUAACUAACACCAACUUCUUUUAUUAAACAAAAACCAAUACAAAAUUAAAAACUAACUUCAUCAAAAACCAAGUCUCUAAGCAAUGGAUGUCUUGGCUCCUCACACGAUGAARAACGUGGCAUAAUAUGUUCAGUAACCCAAGUUGCAAACAUCAUGACAGGUUAAUCUUUGAAUGCAAAUUGCGCUAAACUCGAUCUCGGUCGAGAAGCAUAUAUGUUACAGUAACCCAA
rnacentral:rRNA from 1 species